rnacentral:rRNA from 1 species
UAGUCCACGCCGUAAACGAUGUGUGCUAGAUGUCGGGUCCAUAGGAUUCGGUGUCGCAGCUAACGCACUAAGCACACCGCCUGGGGAGUACGGUCGCAAGAUUAAAACUCAAAGGAAUUGACGGGGACCCGCACAAGCGGUGGAGCAUGUUCUUUAAUUCGACGCAACGCGAAGAACCUUACCUACACUUGACAUCCUGAUCGCGUUUUCUAGAGAUAGAUUACUUCAGUUCGGCUGGAUCAGUGACAGGUGCUGCACGGCUGUCGUCAGCUCGUGUCGUGAGAUGUUUGGUUAAGUCCAGCAACGAGCGCAACCCCUAUCGUAUGUUACCAGCAUUUAGUCGGGGACUUUAAUGAAACUGCCCGUGUAAACGGUGAGGAAGGUGGGGACGACGUCAAGUCAUCACGGCCCUUACGUCUAGGGCUACACACGUGCUACAAUGGUGGGUACAGAGCGUUGCUGCUUGGUGACAAGUUUGCUAAUCGCUAAAGCCUAUCUCGGUUCGG